rnacentral:misc_RNA from 1 species
CACUUGUCAUCAUCGCAUGAGAAAUUGGCAUUUGCAUAGGUUCUUAGAAAGUUUUCUUGAGCAGGGAAGCAAAGGAUUCAGGGAAACGAAAUGGAAAGAUAGAUGGAGAAGCCACGAAAACAAUCCCGAACCCAUAUCAAUCUCAAGAAUCUUCCUCCUCUAGAUCCAAGCACCACCUCCUCCUACUCCCAGGUACGCNNNNNNNNCUAGGUAUGUACCUAAAGCUGCCAAGCCAGGACCCCAAGAAGAGGGAACCGAGGCAGGAAAAUUAUUUGAUCAUGAGGCAAACACGGAAGCAGAUUUGUUAGCUGAUACAAAUCUAUUAAAUAAUAAGCAUAAUACCAGAGAUGAUGAAGAUGAUGUUUCUAAUUGUUGUGUCAAGCACAUAAUAGACUCUAAUAACACAAUCUUCAAGGCCCAAACUCAGACCAAGGUGGAUCCUAAAACCAGUGGGGAUAAUAAAGCCUUCUAUAAUGACUCAGGUGAACCAAAUAAUAUAUCAGCUAAAUCACAAUUGCAUGAGAUUU